AUACUCCGAGAACUGAAAGGCUUUUUGAAGUCUUCGGAUGGAUAGAAGAACCCCUGAUGCCGUCGAGCCAAGAAAAGUUUCUAAGUUUAGCUAAUGUUGCCCGUACCGUAAACCGACACAGGUGGGUGGGAUGAGUAUUCUAAGGCGCGUGGAAGAACUCUCUUUAAGGAACUCUGCAAAAUAGCACCGUAUCUUCGGUAUAAGGUGUGGUUAGCUUUGUAUUAGGAUUUACUCCGAAAGCAAGGAAACUUACAACAAAGAGUCCCUCCCGACUGUUUACCAAAAACACAGCACUCUGCUAACUCGUAAGAGGAUGUAUAGGGUGUGACGCCUGCCCGGUGCUCGAAGGUUAAUUGAUGGGGUUAGCAUUAGCGAAGCUCUUGAUCGAAGCCCGAGUAAACGGCGGCCGUAACUAUAACGGUCCUAAGGUAGCGAAAUUCCUUGUCGGUUAAAUACCGACCUGCAUGAAUGGCGUAACGAGAUGGGAGCUGUCUCAAAGAGGGAUCCAGUGAAAUUGUAGUGGAGGUGAAAAUUCCUCCUACCCGCGGCAAGACGGAGAGACCCCGUGGACCUUUACUACAGCUUGACACUGCUACUUGGAUAAGAAUGUGCAGGAUAGGUGGGAGGCUUUGAGUAUAUGACGCCAGUUGUAUAUGAGCCAUUGUUGAGAUACCACUCUUUCUUAUUUGGGUAGCUAACCAGCUUGAGUUAUCCUCAAGUGGGACAAUGUCUGGUGGGUAGUUUGACUGGGGCGGUCGCCUCCCAAAUAAUAACGGAGGCUUACAAAGGUUGGCUCAGAACGGUUGGAAAUCGUUCGUAGAGUAUAAAGGUAUAAGCCAGCUUAACUGCAAGACAUACAAGUCAAGCAGAGACGAAAGUCGGUCUUAGUGAUCCGGUGGUUCUGUGUGGAAGGGCCAUCGCUCAAAGGAUAAAAGGUACCCCGGGGAUAACAGGCUGAUCUCCCCCAAGAGCUCACAUCGACGGGGAGGUUUGGCACCUCGAUGUCGGCUCAUCGCAUCCUGGGGCCGGAGCAGGUCCCAAGGGUAUGGCUGUUCGCCAUUUAAAGCGGUACGCGAGCUGGGUUCAGAACGUCGUGAGACAGUUCGGUCCCUAUCUGCCGUGGGCGUAAGAAGAUUGAAGAGAUUUGACCCUAGUACGAGAGGACCGGGUUGAACAAACCACUGGUGUAGCUGUUGUUCUGCCAAGAGCAUCGCAGCGUAGCUAAGUUUGGAAAGGAUAAACGCUGAAAGCAUCUAAGCGUGAAGCCAACUCUAAGAUGAAUCUUCUCUAAGCUCUCUAGAAGACUACUAGUUUGAUAGGCUGGGUGUGUAAUGGAUGAAAGUCCUUUAGCUGACCAGUACUAAUAGAGCGUUUGGCUUAUCUUUAAUAAAGCAU
rnacentral:rRNA from 1 species